GACAGAGGGUGCAAACGUUGUUCGGAAUUACUGGGCGUAAAGCGCGUGUAGGCGGCAAGGCAAGUCGGGUGUGAAAGCCCUGGGCUCAACCCGGGAAGUGCAUUCGAUACUGCUAAGCUAGAGUCCCGGAGAGGAUGGUGGAACUCUCGGUGUAGAGGUGAAAUUCGUAGAUAUCGAGAAGAACACCGGUGGCGAAGGCGGCCAUCUGGACGGUGACUGACGCUGAGACGCGAAAGCGUGGGGAGCAAACAGG
rnacentral:rRNA from 1 species